CGGUGUGUAGCGAAGCCUGGAAACGCGCCUGAUUCGGGGUCAGGAGAUCGGAGGUUCAAAUCCUCCCACACCGACCA
rnacentral:tRNA from 1 species